CCUACGGGAGGCAGCAGUGAGGAAUAUUGGUCAAUGGACGCAAGUCUGAACCAGCCAUGUCGCGUGCAGGAUGACGGCCCUAUGAGUUGUAAACUUCUUUUAUAAAAGGAUAAACCGCGACACGUGUGCCUUGUUGCAAGUAUUUUAUGAAUAAGGAUCGGCUAACUCCGUGCCAGCAGCCGCGGUAAUACGGAGGAUCCGAGCGUUAUCCGGAUUUAUUGGGUUUAAAGGGAGCGUAGAUGGUUUGUUAAGUCAGUUGUGAAAGUUUGCGGCUCAACCGUAAAAUUGCAAUUGAUACUGGCAGUCUUGAGUAUAGUUGAGGUAGGCGGAAUGCGUGGUGUAGCGGUGAAAUGCUUAGAGAUCACGAAGAACCCCGAUUGCGAAGGCAGCUUACCAAACUGUGACUGACAUUGAGGCUCGAAAGCGUGGGUAGCAAACAGGAUUAGAUACCCUUGUAGUC
rnacentral:rRNA from 1 species